rnacentral:rRNA from 1 species
UACGUAGGGUGCAAGCGUUAAUCGGAAUUACUGGGCGUAAAGCGUGCGCAGGCGGUGAUGUAAGACAGUUGUGAAAUCCCCGGGCUCAACCUGGGAACUGCAUCUGUGACUGCAUCGCUGGAGUGCGGCAGAGGGGGGAUGGAAUUCCGCGUGUAGCAGUGAAAUGCGUAGAUAUGCGGAGGAACACCGAUGGCGAAGGCAGGUCUCUGGGCUGACACUGACGCUCAUGCACGAAAGCGUGGGGAGCAAACAGG